UACAGAGGUCCCGAGCGUUGUUCGGAUUCACUGGGCGUAAAGGGUGCGUAGGUGGUGAGGUAAGUCGGACGUGAAAGCUCCAAGCUCAACUUGGAAAUGGCAUUGGAAACUACCUUGCUAGAGGGUUUGAGGGGGGACUGGAAUACUUGGUGUAGCAGUGAAAUGCGUAGAUAUCAAGUGGAACACCAGUGGCGAAGGCGAGUCCCUGGAAAACUCCUGACACUGAGGCACGAAAGCUAGGGGAGCAAACAGG
rnacentral:rRNA from 1 species